rnacentral:rRNA from 1 species
UACGAAGGGGGCGAGCGUUGUUCGGAAUUACUGGGCGUAAAGGGCGCGUAGGCGGCCCCUUUUGUCGCGUGUGAAAGCCCCGGGCUCAACCUGGGAGGUGCGCGCGAAACGGGGGGGCUUGAGUUCGGGAGAGGAGAGUGGAAUUCCCAGUGUAGAGGUGAAAUUCGUAGAUAUUGGGAAGAACACCGGUGGCGAAGGCGGCUCUCUGGACCGAGACUGACGCUGAGGCGCGAAAGCGUGGGGAGCAAACAG